GACAGAGGUGGCAAGCGUUGUUCGGAUUUACUGGGCGUAAAGAGUGCGUAGGUGGUGAGGUAAGACCUGUGGGAAAGACCUGGGCUUAACCCAGGAAGGUCGCAGGUGACUGCCUCGCUUGAGGACGGGAGAGGAGAGCGGAAUUCCCGGUGUAGCGGUGAAAUGCGUAGAGAUGUGGAGGAACACCGAUGGCGAAGGCAGCCCCCUGGGCUGACACUGACGCUCAGGCACGAAAGCGUGGGGAGCAAACAGG
rnacentral:rRNA from 1 species